UACAGAGGUCUCAAGCGUUGUUCGGAUUCAUUGGGCGUAAAGGGCGCGUAGGCGGCGGGGCAAGUCGGGUGUGAAAUCUCAGGGCUCAACCCUGAAACUGCGCUCGAUACUGCUCUGCUUGAGGACUGGAGAGGAGACUGGAAUUCACGGUGUAGCAGUGAAAUGCGUAGAUAUCGUGAGGAAGACCAGUGGCGAAGGCGGGUCUCUGGACAGUUCCUGACGCUGAGGCGCGAAGGCCAGGGGAGCAAACGGG
rnacentral:rRNA from 1 species